GGAUGUGAGGGCGAUCUGGCUGCGACAUCUGUCACCCCAUUGAUCGCCAGGGUUGAUUCGGCUGAUCUGGCUGGCUAGGCGGGUGUCCCCUUCCUCCCUCACUGCUCCAUGUGGGUCCCUCCCGAAGCUGUGUGCUCAGUCGAAGAGGACAACCAUCCCCAAUGGAGGAGGACCGUUCUUCGGUCAAGGGUAUACGAGUAGCUGCGCUCCCCUGCUAGAACCUCCAAACAAGCUCUCUCAAAAAGUUGGCUCUUUGAAAAAAUAAACAAGAUCAACAGACCCCUGGCAAACCUG
rnacentral:snRNA from 1 species